UUGAUAGUACCUAUCCUACAUGGAUAACAGUGGUAAUUCUAGAGCUAAUACAUGCUGAAAAUCCCGACUUCGGAAGGGACGUAUUUAUUAGAAUCAGAACCAAUGCCCUUCGGGGUUCUCUGGUGACUCAUGAUAACUCCACAGAUCGCAUGGCCUUGCGCCGGCGAUGGCUCAUUCAAAUUUCUUCCCUAUCAACUUUCGACGGUACGGUCUUGGCCUACCGUGGUUGUAACGGGUGACGGAGGGUUAGGGCUCGACCCCGGAGAGAGAGCCGGAGGAACGGCUAUCACAUCCAAGGAAGGCAGCAGGCGCGCAAAUUAUCCAAUCCCGACUCGGGGAGAUAGUGACAAUAAAUACCGAUACAGGGCUCUUUUGGGCCCUGUAAUUGGAAUGAGUACAAUUCAAACCUCUUAACGAGGAACAAUUGGAGGGCAAGUCUGGUGCCAGCAGCCGCGGUAAUUCCAGCUCCAAUAGCGUAUAUUAAAGUUGUUGUGGUUAAAAAGCUCGUAGUCGAACCUCGAGCCUGGCCGGCCGGUCCGCCUCACCGCGUGCACUGGUCUGGCCGGGCUCUUCCCUCUGCGGAACCGCAUGUCCUUCACUGGGCGUGUCGGGGAGGCAGGACUUUUACUUUGAAAAAAUUAGAGUGCUCAAGGCAGGCCAAUGCUCGGAUACAUUAGCAUGGAAUAAUAGAAUAGGACGUUGGUUCUAUUUUGUUGGUUUUUAGGACCGCCGUAAUGAUCAAUAGGGACGGUCGGGGGCAUCAGUAUUCAGCCGUCAGAGGUGAAAUUCUUGGACCGGCCGAAGACUAACUACUGCGAAAGCAUUUGCCAAGGACGUUUUCGCUGAUCAGGAACGAAAGUUAGGGGAUCGAAGACGAUCAGAUACCGUCGUAGUCUUAACCAUAAACGAUGCCGACUAGGGAUCGGGCGGCGUUCUUUCUAGACCCGCUCGGCACCUUACGAGAAAUCAA
rnacentral:rRNA from 1 species